GUGCUGGGAUUACAGGUGUGAGCCACCACACCUGGCCUAUUUUAAGUUUAUCUGUAGAUUCCUUUGGGCUUCUAUAUUGACAAGCACAUCAUUUGCAAAUAAUGACAGUCUUGCUUCUUCCUUUCCAAGUAUUCAAGUUGUGUAUUUCUUUUUCUUUUCUUAUUGUACAGGCUAGUACCUUCCAUAAAAUGUUGGAUGAAAAUAGCUAUAGUGGUGGCUUGCCGAUUUUGUCGUUUUUUUGACAAGGUCACAUUCUGUGAUCCAGGCUAGAGUGCAGUGGUGCCAUUAUAGCUCACUGAACCUCCUGGGCUCAAGCAGUCCUUUCGCCUCAGCCGUCUGAGUAGCUUGGACUACAAUUGGACUACAAGAACAUACCACUGCUGCUGUUUUUUAUUUUUUAUUUUUUUGUAUAGAUGAGAUCUCACUAAAUUGUCCAGGCUGAUCUGGAACUCCUGAGCUCAAGUAAUCCUCCCCCCUUGGCCUCCAAAAGCGCUAGAAUUAUAGGCAUGAGCCACCAUAACCAUCGUUGUUUAUUAUUUUAAUGGAAAAUUUUUAGUUUUCAACACUGCAUGUAUUAUCUUUUUGUAGAUUGUCGUUAAACAAGUGUCUAUUUAUUUGCUCACAUUGAGGCCCUUGUUUAUUGCUUUUAGUUCUGUAUUUCAAUUCAUUUAGAAUAUGAAAACAGAUAUUUUAUAUUCUACAUCUGAUAAUUCCAACAUCUGCAGUAUUUGAUUUUCUGAUUGUUCAGUUCAUUAUUCCUGUUGAUUUUGGAGUGGCUUAUUUCCCCAUGUGUUUCGUGAUUAUAUUUCAUUAUGAAUUUUGGUUCUAUGGAAGGUGGCCUGCAGUCACAUUUUUCAGUGUGAUUUUCCUGGGAGGAGCUGAGAAUGUUUCUG
rnacentral:lncRNA from 10 species